rnacentral:ncRNA from 1 species
ACCCGCUGCGGUCGCGGGCAAUCGACCGCACCUCCCUGUUGGACUCGGCCGGACCUCGCGUCCGGCCUUUUUU